UAUAACUCGUCGGACUAGUCGCGUUGCGACCGCGCGUUAGUACGCACGUAUUUCGAAAUAAACGAGGAGAAGAGAUAUACAACGAGAUAAGAAGAAAAAUAUCAUCGCAUCUUUGUAUUUUGAAAAAACAAAUUUCCUUUUUAUCCCUUUAUUCCCCCACUUUUCUUUCUUAUCGUCUUACUUAUUUAUCUAUCAGACCGAUGGUGAUCGUGUGUGCCACUCUCUAUAAUAUAAUAACGAAUUAGGUUUUUUUAUUUUUUGUUUGUUUGUUUGUUUUUGUGUACACGAAUUACGACAACUUGAUAUUAAUAUAAACGUCAAAUCAAGUAUCAACAAAAACUUGGAAAAAACGGGAUUUCCCUUGGUGAUACGUGAAUUUUGUAUUUUCCUAAACUUUACAUUGAAUUUCGGUGUGUUCAAUUGGUGCCGUGAUAAUAAACAAAAUUAUAAGAAUUAAAGAAAAGAAUAUUUUGUAAAUUUUCUCGACGAUUAAGGCAAGGAUUACAUCAUGACAGAACCGAAACAACCUAAGGCAGCGUAAUGCCAAAGGAAUCUUGUUGGGGGUUACUGCUAACCCUAGUGCCGUUAUUCGUCGGUGUCUGUGAUCUCGCUGGCGCAAUAUCCGGUUCUCAGUAUCCGGUGUGUAAACCAGGCUUAGAAUUCUGGUCCACCGAGCGUGCAUCUUGCUGGCCAUGCACGAGAUGCGCGCCCGAGUUCACAUUGAGCCCUUGCGCCGUGCAUAAAGAUGCAAUUUGUGGUCCACUAUCAGCUUUGGAGCUUGACUGGUCUUUUCUUUCAACGAGAAAAAGGCCUGAGAACGGACAGAGACGUUUGGAAGCGGUAACAUCAAAGAUGCUUUGGCGAUUUCCUGAUUUAGAUCAACAACAACAACAACAGUCGCAGGAGCAACGACAGCAAGAGAAGUUAAAACAGGAAACGAGGAGUCUCGUCGAUGCUACUUACGACGACGAAAUAAACGUGGGACACGUUGACGAGUUAUCUUCUCAAGAACAAAAAAGGUCAUAUGAUCCUCGAGAAAGGAGAAAAUCUAAUAUCCACGAAGGAAAUCUUUUGUGGGAUUGGCAAACUGCCGCCCUUGUAUUAGCGGUAUGUGCCUGUGUGGUCUUCUUUUUGGUAGCGGGUUGUUCGGCCUUGGUUUAUGCGAGACAAUGGCGAAGGAUGAAAAAAAGUUUUGAACCAGUCGGUCUCGAAGAAAUCUCUGCCCGAUUAAAUGUUAUGGUUAAGGCAGAAUUGGCUGAACUCGUUGCGGGUGCACCUAUGAGUCCAGGUGAUCCAGAAACUAGAUGUCAGUACCUUGAGAAAUUAUUAGACCGGAAACGCGAAACUCCGGUGGUGGCUGGUUGGCCGGAAGUGGGUGGGAACCUCUACAUCGAGGAAGAGGAGACACUGAGAAGUAAACGUUCACAAAUCGCGCGGAUUCAUCGAAACAUCGAAACGAUUCUCAGCCACAAGACUAACGUCAUUGAUUGAUCUAACUAAAUGCAAAAGAGAAAGAAAGAGUAAAAAGAAAGAGAGAGAGAGAGAGAGAGAGAGAGAGAGAGAGAGA
rnacentral:misc_RNA from 1 species